GUCCAGCAGUUAAUGACCUUCCCUGCCCUUGUCUAUAGCACCGGGGAGCCCCUUUGUGAGGCCAAAGGGGCAACUCAGGAAGUCACACCGGCUGCCUUUGAGCGAGUCCCCUGAGCUGUCUCUGAGUUUGUUCCACCUAGCCACCACUGGAGUUUUCAGGGCAUAUCCUCCAGCUUUGUAAAUAGCUGUUAAAAAAAAUAAAAAUAAAUCCAGUAUUUUGUCAACCUUUACAAAAACUGAGCUUACAAAAUGCCUCUCACAGAGAGGUCUCAGAAAAUUGUACAAUAAACAAUAUAUUGAAAAAAUAGUCGACGGCCCGGAGAGUUUGAAGGCAAGAGAACGUGUUUUUGUUUCUGUAAAGAGAAAUGCUAACAUGAGGGCCCGGCAGCCGGUGCGUGGGGACCUCAGAGGAAACCCCGUGGGCAUAGCCACCUGGCCACAGUGGGCAGGAGGUGCCACUUCUGCCCUGGAAGCUGGCGCCAUUCGAGCAUCAGGAAACCCUGAUACGGAAGCAAAGAGGGAACUGAGAGGAACUUCUGGGAAGGAGAGGAAAGCGCUGGAAUUGAAAGGCUGGGUUUUGGGCUCUUUUUAUUCUGAUGAUUUCGUCCUGAUUCAAUUUAAAGCUGGUUAGAGCUCAAACACGGGAGCGUAAUUGACAAAGAUCAGUGUGGGCUGCAAUGUUAAUGUCUUGUCUGUGGCUUCCGAGACGCGGAACUCGACACGCAGGUUAAGCAGUGAUUCCAGCAGAGGACACCUGGGCCUGCACAGCCGCUCUGGCUGCGGGCAAGGUUGGGGGCUCCAAAGUGGAGUCCAGGUGGCACAUGGGGGAAUAGGAGGACUGGGGACACGACUGACCCUCAGCGCAGAAAGGCUCAGGAACUCUUCAGGAGCACCCGCUAGCCUCUGCUUGCACAGGCGACGCACGGAAAUCAAGGACGCCCAGCUGCCUGCACCUUGACUGACGCCGCCCUGACUCCAGCCUCCCGGCCUCAGCUCUGGGUCUUCUUAUGGGGACAGCAAGUGAAUAACCUGGAGCAAGUUCCAGACACAGCCCGCCUUUGGGAGCAGUGGCUCAGGCCACUCUGUGUGAUGCUCGGUGCAGAGUGUGCUCUGCCCUGGGACAGAGGAGGGCAGAGGGAGCACCGGGCGUCUCGAGGAGGUGGCCAGAUGCCGCUCACGGCUAAGAAGUGGGAUGACCCUGCACACCAAACGGGUCGGAAGCUGGAUGCCACACGCCUUAGAGGGGGCGCCGUCCUCCCUCCGUGGAGCACCCGGUCCUCUGUUAAUUGGUCUCCUGGAGUUUGCUGACUGCCUUCCACACACUUGUCACUGCCAGGCUGGGCCACGGAAUCUAGGAGCUUACGAGCAGGGCAAGUGUGAUGUGACAUCCCAACUCUCAGCGAGGAGCCAAGUCAAAGGAUGUCCUCUUGGAGCGUGAGGAGUGACGUUCAACACACGUACAUGUGCGCACGUGUGCAAUCACUGGGAGAAAAAAAUGUUAUCAGGGAUAUGGCGGGUUCUCCUUGGGAAUGAGUUGAGCAGAUGAGUGUGGAGGAGAUUCGCGAGGUUGUCCAUUUCUUUCCCCUCCCCUGUGAUGAGGGCAGAUAAAACCCAGGACGCCCAGUUAAUUUUAAUUUCAGAUGAACACCAAAUAAUUUUUUGUGUACGUAUGUGCCAGAUAUCACGUGGGACAUGCUUGCAUUAAAAAAAAACCAAACCUGUGUGUAUCUGCAAUUCAGACUUAGCUGGGCAUCCUGUGUUUUGUUUGUUAAGUCAGGGAGCCCUACCUGUAACAGCACGGGUGGUGGAAGGCUUUAUUUCGACGUCAUUUCCUUAGUCAUUUAAAAAAUUUAGGCGCAUGAAUUAUAAAAGUCAUUACUGAUUCAUUGUAUUAGUUCUUAUAAGAUGGAAGUGUCUGAAGUGAAA